rnacentral:misc_RNA from 1 species
UUUCCGUAGGUGAACCUGCGGAAGGAUCAUUACAGUCAUAGACCCCCGGCCCUCUGGGCUGGGUCCUUCUAUACCCCCCUUUGUUUAUUACCCCUUUCUUGCUUUACCACGCCGGCCCUCCGGCUGCCGGCGCCGGCCGGCUCGCGUCUGCCGCUGAACUAAUCUCUGAUUGUAUAUGAACGCUGAGUACUAUAUAAUAGUUAAAACUUUCAACAACGGAUCUCUUGGUUCUG